rnacentral:rRNA from 1 species
GGCGGCAUGCCUUACACAUGCAAGUCGAACGGCAGCAUAGGAGCUUGCUCCUGAUGGCGAGUGGCGAACGGGUGAGUAAUAUAUCGGAACGUGCCCUAGAGUGGGGGAUAACUAGUCGAAAGACUAGCUAAUACCGCAUACGAUCUACGGAUGAAAGUGGGGGAUCGCAAGACCUCAUGCUCCUGGAGCGGCCGAUAUCUGAUUAGCUAGUUGGUGGGGUAAAAGCCUACCAAGGCGACGAUCAGUAGCUGGUCUGAGAGGACGACCUGCCACACUGGGACUGAGACACGGCCCAGACUCCUACGGGAGGCAGCAGUGGGGAAUUUUGGACAAUGGGGGCAACCCUGAUCCAGCAAUGCCGCGUGAGUGAAGAAGGCCUUCGGGUUGUAAAGCUCUUUUGUCAGGGAAGAAACGGUAGUAGCUUAAUUAUUCUUAUUUAAACUAAUGACCGGUACCUGAAGAAUAAGCACCGGCUAACUACGUGCCAGCAGCCUGCGGUAAUACGUAGGGUGCAAGCGUUAAUCGGAAUUACUGGGCGUAAAGCGUGCGCAGGCGGUUGUGUAAGUCAGAUGUGAAAUCCCCGGGGCUCAACCUGGGAAUUGCAUUUGAGACUGCACGGCUAGAGUGUGUCAGAGGGGGGUAGAAUUCCACGUGUAGCAGUGAAAUGCGUAGAUAUGUGGAGGAAUACCGAUGGCGAAGGCAGCCCCCUGGGAUAACACUGACGCUCAUGCACGAAAGCGUGGGGAGCAAACAGGAUUAGAUACCCUGCUAGUCCACGCCCUAAACGAUGUCUACUAGUUGUCGGGUCUUAAUUGACUUGGUAACGCAGCUAACGCGUGAAGUAGACCGCCUGGGGGAGUACGGUCGCAAGAUUAAAACUCAAAGGGAAUUGACGGGGACCCGCACAAGCGGUGGAUGGAAUGUGGCAUUAAUUCGAUGCAACGCGAAAAACCUUUACCUACCCUUGACAUGGAUGGAAUCCCGAAAGAGAUUUGGGGAGGUGCCUCGAAAGAGAAACCAUUCACCACAGGGUGCCUGCCAUGGCCUGUUCGUUCAGGCUCGUGUCGUGAGAUGUUGGGUUAAGUCCCGCAACGAGCGCAACCCUUGUCAUUAGUUGCUACGAAAGGGCACUCUAAUGAACUGCCGGUGACAAACCGGAGGAAGGUGGGGAUGACGUCAAGUCCUCAUGGCCCUUAUGGGUAGGGCUUCACACGUCAUACAAUGGUACAUACAGAGGGCCGCCAACCCGCGAGGGGGAGCUAAUCCCAGAAAGUGUAUCGUAGUCCGGAUUGGAGUCUGCAACUCGACUCCAUGAAGUUGGAAUCGCUAGUAAUCGCGGAUCAGCAUGUCGCGGUGAAUACGUUCCCGGGUCUUGUACACACCGCCCGUCACACCAUGGGAGCGGGUUUUACCAGAAGUGGGUAGCCUA